GAAAGGGCGUCACAAGAUGGGCCUGCGUCCCAUUAGAUAGUUGGCGGGGUAAUGGCCCACCAAGUCGACGAUGGGUAGCUGGUCUGAGAGGACGACCAGCCACACUGGAACUGCGACACGGUCCAGACUUCUACGGAAGGCAGCAGUGAGGAAUAUUGCUCAAUGGGCGAAAGCCUGAAGCAGCGACGCCGCGUGAGGGAUGAAAUCCGUUAGGAUGUAAACCUCUUUUACAGGGGAUGAAUGUCCCGCUUUGCGGGAUUGACCGUACCCUGUGAAUAAGCACCGGCUAACUACGUGCCAGCAGCCGCGGUAAUACGUAGGGUGCGAGCGUUGUCCGGAAUUACUGGGUGUAAAGGGUCCGCAGGCGGGCAAGAAAGUCAGUGGUGAAAGACUUCGGCUCAACCGAAGAAAUGCCUUUGAUACUUCUUGUCUUGAAUCCGAGAGAGGAUAGUAGAAUUCAUGGUGUAGCGGUGAAAUGCGUAGAGAUCAUGAAGAAUACCAGUAGCGAAGGCGGCUAUCUGGCUCGGUAUUGACGCUCAGGGACGAAAGCGUGGGUAGCAAACAGGAUUAGAU
rnacentral:rRNA from 1 species